UACGGGGGGGAGCAAGCGUUGUUCGGAUUUACUGGGCGUAAAGGGCGCGUAGGCGGCCAGCACAAGUCAGUUGUGAAAUCUCCGAGCUUAACUCGGAAAGGUCAACUGAUACUGUGCGGCUAGAGUGCGGAAGGGGCAACUGGAAUUCUUGGUGUAGCGGUGAAAUGCGUAGAUAUCAAGAGGAACACCGGGUGGCGAAGGCGGGUCUCUGGGCCGAUAUUGACGCUGAGGAGCGAAAGCGUGGGGAGCGAACAGG
rnacentral:rRNA from 1 species